rnacentral:rRNA from 1 species
AUUGAACGCUGGCGGCAUGCCUUACACAUGCAAGUCGAACGGCAGCGGACCUUCGGGUGCCGGCGAGUGGCGAACGGGUGAGUAAUAUAUCGGAACGUACCUUUCAGUGGGGGAUAACGUAGCGAAAGUUACGCUAAUACCGCAUAUUCUGUGAGCAGGAAAGCAGGGGAUCGCAAGACCUUGCGCUGAUUGAGCGGCCGAUAUCAGAUUAGCUAGUUGGUGAGGUAAAGGCUCACCAAGGCGACGAUCUGUAGCGGGUCUGAGGGGAUGAUCCGCCACACUGGAACUGAGACACGGUCCAGACUCCUACGGGAGGCAGCAGUGGGGAAUUUUGGACAAUGGGCGCAAGCCUGAUCCAGCCAUGCCGCGUGAGUGAAGAAGGCCUCGG